AGUCGAGGGGCAGCAUAAAUUACUUGUAAUUUGAUGGCGACCGGUGAACGGGUGCGUAACGCGUAUGCAACUUACCUUUUACUAGAGAAUAGCCAAGAGAAAUUUUGAUUAAUGCUCUAUGUUCUUAUUUACUCGCAUGAGUAAAUAAGCAAAGCUCCGGCGGUAAAAGAUGGGCAUGCGUCCUAUUAGCUUGUAGGUGAGGUAAUGGCUCACCUAAGCUCCGAUAGGUAGGGGUCCUGAGAGGGAGAUCCCCCACACUGGUACUGAGACACGGACCAGACUUCUACGGAAGGCAGCAGUAAGGAAUAUUGGACAAUGGAGGCAACUCUGAUCCAGCCAUGCCGCGUGAAGGAAGACGGCCUUAUGGGUUGUAAACUUCUUUUAUACAGGAAGAAACCUUUCCACGUGUGGAAAGCUGACGGUACUGUAAGAAUAAGGAUCGGCUAACUCCGUGCCAGCAGCCGCGGUAAUACGGAGGAUCCAAGCGUUAUCCGGAAUUAUUGGGUUUAAAGGGUCCGCAGGCUGUUUGUUAAGUCAGAGGUGAAAUCCUACCGCUCAACGGUAGAACUGCCUUUGAUACUGGCAAACUUGAGUUAUUGUGAAGUAGUUAGAAUGUGUAGUGUAGCGGUGAAAUGCAUAGAUAUUACACAGAAUACCGAUUGCGAAAGCAGAUUACUAACAAUAUACUGACGCUGAGGGACGAAAGCGUGGGUAGCGAACAGGAUUAGAUACCCUGGUAGAAGGGC
rnacentral:rRNA from 1 species